rnacentral:rRNA from 1 species
UACGUAGGGGGCUAGCGUUGUCCGGAUUUAUUGGGCGUAAAGAGCGUGUAGGCGGCUUGUUGCGUCGACUGUGAAAACCCGCGGCUUAACCGCGGGCUUGCAGUUGAUACGGGCAGGCUAGAGUUCGGUAGGGGAGACUGGAAUUCCUGGUGUAGCGGUGAAAUGCGCAGAUAUCAGGAGGAACACCGGUGGCGAAGGCGGGUCUCUGGGCCGAUACUGACGCUGAGACGCGAAAGCGUGGGGAGCAAACAGG